AUUAGGAUUAACCAAUAAAUCCAGAUUUAUCAGUUAAUUGUGUAAACAGCUACACCUGUGGCCCCCCACUGUGUCCACCAUAGCACCCGCUGGGCCAUUUAUGUGCCCCCACGGCACAACCUGGGCCAGCCCCGCCCCCAGGUGCAUGGGCCACCCCUGCCCCAGGGUCACAGCCCAUGCCGGUGUCGGCCCCGGGUGCGAGGCAAAUGGGCGGCCUCUGCCCCAGGUGCGUGGCACAUACCGGUGCUGGCCUCCGCCCCUGGGCAGCCCCCAAAGGUUGGGGACCACUGAAUUACACACUAACAUCUCUACUUUCUAAGGGCACCAAUGGUACACCUUUGGCUCACCCCUUCCCAGGCUCUACACCCCACCACUCACUGCGCGCACACACACCCCUCCAUGGUCACUCACCCUCACUUGCUCAUUUUCAGUGGAUUGGGGCCCGUGAUUGGGUGACAGCUUGAGUGGAGGCCAGAAAUGGGAGGAAAUAGUUGUGGAUGGGGGCUCUAGGUUAGGAUUUAAUGUAUAGUUGAGUAAAUACUUAUCAGUUAAUCCUGUCGACUACACAUGUUCCCUCCCUCCUUGUAUUUGUAUCUACGGCAGCAAGAGGAUGCAGGGGGGAAGAGUGGGAGCCAGUGGCCCUAAGGAGCUGGCUUCAAGCACACUCUCCACAAACAGCAGAUCCACAUGCAACACAACAGAACAGUAGAGUGUUAGACAUACAGCAGUGUAAACUAGUCUGUCUCUGAUGCAAGCGUCCUCCCGCCCCGCCAAGGAAACUAAUGCAGAAGAGUUGAAGCAAGGCAUGAGAAAAACAAAUUCUCUGCAGCAUCUCAAGCAAGACACACUUUUUGGACUUGAAGCCCUGGAAGAUCAGAGACUUUUCCCUGAUGCGACCCUCAACCAAGCACUUGUACAGCAAGAAUGAGGCUCCCUCCUGGUUGUGACACUAGGAGCAGGAUUUGAAAUCAGGGAACCUUGUUAUAGAUUCAACCAGUACCAGGAAGAGCCCAGAGUCUACCUUUGACAAGAAAGAGAAAGGAGUCCACGUGACCAAUACUAGUACCCCUCACUACAACAAAGUUAAUGACUAUCUAUAAAGGCAUUUUCACAAGAGGAAUGAUCUCAAACACAACAUACUUUGACUACUGGCAAUGGAUGAUAAGGAGGAGCUGAAGAAGGGUAUGAUGGCUCCACCUUUUAUAGCCUCAGUUUGGAGCAUGAAGGUCACCAGGGUGAAGGCAUGACUAUCCCUAUGAGCAUCGCCAGGGAAAACUCUGUGGUAGCAGUGCACUACAUGGACAUACGCACAGAAUAAUUGUGUUAUGCAUAGAGGAACAAUACUCUGAGGACUCCGUGAUUACAGGUGAAUAAUGUGGUAUCUUAAUGGUUCCUACUCCUUGAAGUAAAUCAGGAAGAUCUCUUUGAACACCCCUUUGCUUUUUCACAUUCACCAGUUGUGGGAAUAGAGAUUACACAACCGGAGCUAGAUCUCUGCCAACAGAUAAUACAGGGUGAGAUAUAGAGGGAUUACUGAGAAUUAGUCACUCGGAUGAAAGCCAGGACAUUGAGGCAAGCAUCUGAGGUCAGAAUUCCCAUUGGGCUUAUGGAGAAAUUAUAUAUUUUUCUGUGACACUACUUGUCAUUAAAGCCAUCAUCAUCUUUAACAUUCUUUUGAAAUGAAAUGUUGUACUUGAUACUAGUCUUCCUCAUCCCAGGCCCAUGACUAACUUUGUUGCUGCUAUGUGUGUUUGUUUAUCCUGAAUCCAAGAUACUCCAGGAAUCACAAUAUUGUGUAUGCUUCAGUCUCCUCACUAUUCAGAAACCU